AAGUCGUAACAAGGUUUCCGUAGGUGAACCUGCGGAAGGAUCAUUAACGAAUAUCUAUGGCGUUGGUUGUAGCUGGCUCUUAGGAGCAUUUGUGCACGCCCGUCAUUUAUAUCAUCUUUCCACCUGUGAACUAUGUGUAGGUCUGGAUACCUCUCGCUUUGGUGACAAGGCGGAUGCAAGGAUUGCUGCCAAGCUCUCUUUGAAUUUCCAGGUCUAUGUUUUUUACACACUCCAUUUGAAUGAUGUAGAAUGUAGUCAAUGGGCUUUCAAGCCUAUAAAAAACUAUACAACUUUCAGCAACGGAUCUCUUGGCUCUC
rnacentral:misc_RNA from 1 species